UAGAUUUUGUCCCCCUGCUUUGCUCAUAGAUUUGCUGUGGUUUGGGGAAGUAUCUUCUUACAUUUACAUCAAUGUUAUCAUGGAGGAACCUGAAAUCAGGCUUCCUGUCUCAUCCCUCUGAUGACCCUUUCCGGGAAAUGCCAUCAGCCAUCUUAUCUGCCAAAUUCAUUUGUUGAGCAUCGUUGCUAUUAAGUGAAUUUCAUAAAUCACUACAAUUUUGUGCACAAAGUUUGUAGGAACAUAGAAAGCUACCGAGUCUACCAGAUGGGACUCGCUUUAAUGGUCUGUUGAAGAAUGGGCAGCAGUCCUUUCCCUCCAGGAUCUGAGCAAUCUGCUGCUCUCCAAGGCCUGCAUUUUGACAGCGAGGGAAGGGAGAGGCCAAGAUCUGAAUUACAUAUCAAGUGAAAAUCGCAUACCUGGCAAGGUGGCACUGAAAGUGCCUGCUGAGCUAUUUGAGUCAGCUGUCGGCAAACAGUGAUGUUGUUGGAAACAUGAGUGCUUGACUUUUAAUUGGAGCUCUCUGUACUGCUUUCAGCAAAAAUAAAGACUGCGCUGGUAUCUCUCUCUCCCCUGGCCACCUCCCCACCCCAGCCCCAGCAAAGGAACAAGAAAGUGUGAAGGUCAAGUACAGAGCAGCGUCACCAACUAUAAACCAAGGUUUGCAGGUUUACCAGGUGGAAGACAGUGCAGUAAAUGGCUCUUACAGAGAUAAGACACCACCUUCUGUACCAGCCAGAUUUAAUUC